rnacentral:misc_RNA from 1 species
GAUGAAAAACGUAGCGAAAUGCGAUAAGUAAUGCGAAUUGCAGAAUUCCGUGAGUCAUCGAAUCUUUGAACGCACAUUGCGCCCUCUGGUAUUCCGGAGGGCAUGCCUGUCUGAGCGUCAUUGUCAACCCUCAAGCUCAGCUUGCUGUUGGGUCCCCGUCGUUGCUUUAACGGCGGACCCGAAAGGUAAUGGCAGAGUCCGUGAGACCCUAGACGCAGCGAGCUUCUAGCACGCGUCUGGACGUUUUUCGGGCUCGGUCUUAACUAGAUGAUAACUUCCGAUUGACCUCAGAUCAGGUAGGGAUACCCGCUGAACUUAAGCAUAUCAAUAAGCGGAGGA